rnacentral:rRNA from 1 species
GAUGAACGCUGACAGAAUGCUUAACGCAUGCAAGUCCACUUGAAUUUGGGUUUUUUAGCUUAGAUUUGGGUGGCGGACGGGUGAGUAACGCGUAAAGAACUUGCCUCACAGCUAGGGACAACAUUUGGAAACGAAUGCUAAUACCUGAUAUUAUGAUUAUAAGGCAUCUUAGAAUUAUGAAAGCUAUAUGCGCUGUGAGAGAGCUUUGCGUCCCAUUAGCUAGUUGGAGAGGUAACGGCUCACCAAGGCGAUGAUGGGUAGCCGGCCUGAGAGGGUGAACGGCCACAAGGGGACUGAGACACGGCCCUUACUCCUACGGGAGGCAGCAGUGGGGAAUAUUGGACAAUGGACCAAGAGUCUGAUCCAGCAAUUCUGUGUGCACGAUGACGUUUUUCGGAAUGUAAAGUGCUUUCAGUUGGGAAGAAAAAAAUGACGGUACCAACAGAAGAAGUGACGGCUAAAUACGUG